AACGAACGCUGGCGGCAUGCCUAACACAUGCAAGUCGAACGAGAUCUUCGGGUCUAGUGGCGCACGGGUGCGUAACGCGUGGGAAUCUGCCCUUUGGUUCGAAAUAACAGUUGGAAACGACUGCUAAUACCGGAUGAUGACGAAAGUCCAAAGAUUUAUCGCCAGAGGAUGAGCCCGCGUAGGAUUAGCUAGUUGGUGUGGUAAAGGCGCACCAAGGCGACGAUCCUUAGCUGGUCUGAGAGGAUGAUCAGCCACACUGGGACUGAGACACGGCCCAGACUCCUACGGGAGGCAGCAGUGGGGAAUAUUGGACAAUGGGCGAAAGCCUGAUCCAGCAAUGCCGCGUGAGUGAUGAAGGCCUUAGGGUUGUAAAGCUCUUUUACCCGGGAUGAUAAUGACAGUACCGGGAGAAUAAGCGCCGGCUAACUCCGUGCCAGCCGCCGCGGUAA
rnacentral:rRNA from 1 species